rnacentral:rRNA from 1 species
CACGUAGGGCGCGAGCGUUGUCCGGAAUUAUUGGGCGUAAAGAGCUCGUAGGCGGCCUGUUGCGUCCGCUGUGAAAGCCCGGGGCUUAACCCCGGGUCGGCAGUGGAUACGGGCAGGCUAGAGGUAGGUAGGGGAGAAUGGAAUUCCCGGUGUAGCGGUGAAAUGCGCAGACAUCGGGAGGAACACCGGUGGCGAAGGCGGUUCUCUGGGCCUUACCUGACGCUGAGGAGCGAAAGCAUGGGGAGCGAUCCGG